GCUGGGAGAGUUGACUGGCGAGCCCGAGCGGGAGGGGGCAUCAUGGCGGCCCAGGCGCUGUCGCUUCUGAGGGAGGUGUCUCGGCUGGAAGCGCCGCUGGAGGAGCUGCGCGCUCUGCAGUCGGUGCUGCAGUCGGUGCCUCUCAGCGAGCUCCGCGAGCAAGCGGCGGAACUGCGCCUUGGCCCGCUUUUCUCCCUGCUCAACGAGAACCAUCGGGAACAGACUACUUUGUGUGUAUCCAUCCUGGAGAGAUUGCUGCAAGCUUUGGAGCCAGUUCACAUGGCCCGGAACCUCAGGGUUGACCUGCAGAGGGGACUGACUCACCCCAAUGAUUCUGUAAAAAUCCUCACUCUGUCCCAGGUUGGAAGAAUUGUUGAAAAUUCUGAUGCUGUUACUGAGAUUCUAAAUAAUGCUGAAUUAUUAAAACAAAUCAUUUAUUGUAUUGGUGAAGAGAAUCUAUCUGUAGCUAAAGCGGCCAUUAAAUCCCUGUCAAGAAUAUCACUGACCCAGGCUGGACUGGAGGCUUUAUUUGAAAGUAAUCUGCUGGAUGAUUUGAAAAGUGUAAUGGAAACAAAUGACAUUGUUCGAUACAGGGUGUAUGAGCUAAUUGUGGAGAUAUCCUCUGUGUCACCAGAAUCUUUAAACUACUGUACCACCAGUGGAUUGGUAACGCAGCUCCUCCGAGAACUGACCGGUGAGGAUGUGCUAGUCAGAGCCACCUGUAUAGAAAUGGUGACAUCACUGGCAUAUACUCAUCAUGGACGACAGUACCUUGCUCAAGAAGGAGUAAUUGACCAGAUUUCUAAUAUAAUUGUUGGGGCAGAUUCAGACCCUUUCUCUAGCUUCUAUUUGCCAGGAUUUGUGAAGUUUUUUGGAAACCUGGCUAUCAUGGAUAGUCCUCAGCAGAUCUGUGAGCGUUAUCCUGUCUUUGUGGAAAAAGUCUUUGAAAUGACAGAAAGUCAAGACCCCACCAUGAUUGGUGUAGCAGUGGACACAAUUGGAAUUCUAGGAUCCAAUGUUGAAGGAAAACAAGUUUUACAGAAAACAGGAACUCGCUUUGAACGUUUGCUGAUGAGAAUAGGAUAUCAAGCAAAGAAUGCCUCAACAGAGCUCAAAAUUAGGUGUUUGGAUGCAAUUUCAUCUCUUUUUUAUUUACCAGCUGAGCAGCAGACUGAUGACCUCCUGAGGAUGACAGAAUCCUGGUUUUCUUCUUUAUCUCGGGACCCGAUGGAGCUCUUCCGUGGCAUCAGUACUCAACCCUUCUUUGAACUACACUGUGCUGCCUUAAAAGUGUUCACGGCCAUUGCAAACCAACCCUGGGCUCAGAAACUUAUGUUUAACAGUCCAGGUUUUGUAGAAUAUGUGAUGGACCGGUCCGUAGAGCGUGACAGAGCUUCAAAGGAUGCCAAAUAUGAACUGGUGAAAGCACUUGCCAAUUCUAAGACAAUUGCAGAAAUCUUUGGGAACCCAAAUUAUUUGAGGCUCAGAACUUACCUGAGCGAAGGUCCAUACUAUGUGAAACCUAUUUCCACAACAGCAGUGGAAGGAGCAGAGUGAUUUCUUCUAGAGUCUAGACCAUUUAUUGACCAAAAUUUCUCCUGAGGCAUUUGAAUCCAUCUGCAUUUUACAAAACAGACUUCCCUCCCACCAGAAUUAUCAUGGAGUGUCUAAUGUAAUUUUAUCACCAACAUUUGUUGUGUUUCUACAUUGAAAUUCAACGUAAAGCCAGGAAAGCAGUGCUCUGCUCUCUAAACAGCAAAGUGAUCACCAAUCCAGAGGUUUCUACAUGAAUAUGUUAUCAGAGUGUGAUGGUUCAGAAUGGAGAGAUAGGUUUCUUUCAAGCCAUGGUGGUGAUGUUGAUAAACCAGCCCUGCUCUGUUACAAAAUGAUUCUCAAGUGACUGGAAUUUUCUUGUCCCCAGAUUAGUCAUCUCUGUUCCGCCAUCUCUGGUAUCCGUGAGUCCCCUUUUUCCAUCUUUCUAUAUGGGCCAUUUUCCUACUGCUAAUACCACUAAAUUUCUGUUGUUUUCAGCCACCUAGUCUGUCGUACUUUGUUAGGCAUCUUUAGGAAACUAAUAGAGUGUAUACAUAACAUGAAAUGUGUAUUUGUUGCAUCCCGUUUGUAAAAUACUGCCUAAUUAGGACUUGAUGAAAAUUGUUUCACAAAAAAUUAGAGAUCCAAGUCUUUACACUAGUGAGAUUUAAGUUAAUAUAUACUAGGUAGCUAAAACUUUUAAGUGUAAUUCCACCACUCAGAUUACUAAAAUGUUUCAUCUUACAGACAAGAUGAACAUUUUGUUACAUUCCUUAUUUAGUGUUUUCCUUUAAUUCUGAGAAUUCUCAAAAAUCAGUCAC